CCACUCUCCAAGCCUAAGUACUCCUAUGCGACCGAUAGUGAACCAGUACCGUGAGGGAAAGGUGAAAAGCACCCCGACGAGGGGAGUGAAAUAGACCCUGAAACCGAAUGCCUACAAUCAGUGGGAGCUCGAAAGAGUGACCGCGUACCUUUUGUAUAAUGGGUCAGCGACUUAAUCUAGCGAGCGAGCUUAAACCGAUAGGUGUAGGCGGAGCGAAAGCGAGUCUUAAUAGGGCGCUUUAGUCGCUGGGUAUAGACCCGAAACCGGGCGAUCUAUCCAUGGGCAGGUUGAAGGUUGGGUAACACUAACUGGAGGACCGAACCGACUACCGUUGAAAAGUUAGCGGAUGACCUGUGGAUCGGAGUGAAAGGCUAAUCAAGCCCGGAGAUAGCUGGUUCUCCUCGAAAGCUAUUUAGGUAGCGCCUCAUGUAUCACUGUAGGGGGUAGAGCACUGUUUCGGCUAGGGGGUCAUCCCGACUUACCAAACCGAUGCAAACUCCGAAUACCUGGAAGUGCCGAGCAUGGGAGACACACGGCGGGUGCUAACGUCCGUCGUGAAAAGGGAAACAACCCAGACCCACAGCUAAGGUCCCAAAUUUUGUGCUAAGUGGAAAACCAUGUGGAAAGGCACAGACAGCCAGGAGGU
rnacentral:rRNA from 1 species